CAAUAGCGUAUAUUAAAGUUGUUGCAGUUAAAAAGCUCGUAGUUGGAUUUCUGGUGGGAGCGAUCGGUCUGGCGCUUAGCGCGAGUACUUGCAUCGUCUCCGGCCAUCCUUGGGGAGAGUCUGUCUGGCAUUAAGUUGUCGGGCAGAGGAUCCUCAUCGUUUACUGUGAAAAAAUUAGAGUGUUCAAAGCAGGCUUAUGCCGUUGAAUAUAUUAGCAUGGAAUAAUAAGAUAGGACUUUGGUACUAUUUUGUUGGUUUGCGCACCAAAGUAAUGAUUAAUAGGGACAGUUGGGGGUAUUCGUAUUCCGUCGUCAGAGGUGAAAUUCUUGGAUUUUUGGAAGACGAACUACUGCGAAAGCAUUUACCAAGGAUGUUUUCAUUAA
rnacentral:rRNA from 1 species